AGAGGGGUUCUGUAAGAGAAGGGAGAACUGAGAGUUAAUACCCAUCAUUCAGACAGGCAGUUCUCUACAGGUAGCUGACUGGAAAUGUGAACUCGUGCACCCUCUUUGGGGACAGGCUGUGUUGCUUUCUAUUUCUUUGCUUGCAGCCAGGUGCACAUUUAUUUGAAACGGAAUGAAUUUUCUGCUCAAUGGCCGGUCAGGUUAACGCUUCAAGACUAGUGGAUAUUUCUUUUUAAUGUCUUCAAUGCUAUUUUUUCCUUUUUUUUUUUUUUUUUUUUCUUUCUUUUUGAGAUUGAGGAGGAAGAGCUCGGUUUAAAUUCUGGUUGGGUAAGUGGGGGAUUCUCAGAAAUGAGAAAGGGGGAAGGAAACGGACUUAAAAGCCAGAGAGCAAAGCACCAGCCCUCGGCCCCCACAUCCUGCGCACCCCCUACCUCCGCCCCGUGACCUCCCGAGGAGACCCCAGGCGGCUGCAUCAAUAUUUGAUCAGCUUUUCACCAGCGCGUUGCCAGCACUCGUCGGCGGGGCUUGCCAGGCAUCGCCCGCGCUACGCUGAAGCCCGCGCCGGCGCCCGAAGGGGCUUCGGAAGGACCGGCUCUGCGCUCGCCCUCUCCGCAGGACGGCUCGGCUUCGCGGCCGGGGCGCGGCGCCCACCAUGCGGGGCUGCACGCGGCUCGCGCUGCUCUGCGCGCUGCCCUGGCUCCUGCGGGCGGCCGCGCCGGGGCGCACGGCACAACCCCUAGCGCAGCGCCGCGACCCUCGCGACCCCGCCAGGGGCGCCGACUUCGAUCGCAUCUACAGCGGGGUGGUGAGCCUCAGCACCGAGAACAUCUACUCCUUCAACUACACCAGCCAGCCCGGCCAGGUGAACGCUGUGCGGGUGUAUGUGAACAGCUCCUCGGAGAACCUCGACUACCCGGUCCUGGUCGUGGUUCGCCAGCAGAAAGGGGUGCUGUCCUGGCAGGUUCCUCUGCUUUUCCAAGGACUAUACCAGAGGAGCUACAGCUACCAGGAAGUGAGCCGCACCUUGUGUCCCUCGGAAGCAACCAACGAGACAGGACCUCUGGAGCAACUGAUCUUUGUGGAUGUAGCAUCCAUGGCGCCCCUGGGUGCCUACUACAAACUGCUGGUUACCAGGAUCAAGCACUUCCAGCUGCAGACAAAUGUUGCCUUUCACUUCACUGCCAGCCCCUCUCAACCUCAGUAUUUUCUAUACAAAUUUCCUGAAGAUGUGGAUUCAGUUAUCAUUAAAGUCAUGUCUGAAGUGGCUUAUCCAUGUUCCGUUGUCUCAGUCCAGAAUAUCAUGUGCCCGGUGUACGAUCUCGACCACAAUGUGGAAUUUAAUGGUAUCUAUCAGUCCAUGACCAAGAAAGCUGCCAUCACACUACAGAAGAAGGAUUUUCCAGGCGGGCAGUUCUUUGUGGUGUUUGUGAUAAAGCCUGAAGAUUAUGCUUGUGGAGGAUCUUUCUUCACCCAGGAAAAGGAGAACCAGACCUGGAAUCUACAACGUGCAAAGAACCUUAAAGUGACCAUUGUUCCUUCCAUUAAAAAAUCCGUUUAUGUGAAAUCCAUUCUUCUCAGUUUCCUCAUCUUCCUCUCCUUCUACUUGGGAUGCCUGUGUGUUGCGUUGGUUCAUUUUAUCAGGUUUCAGAGAAAAUCCAUUGAUGGAAGCUUUGGUUCCAAUGAUGGCUCUGGAAAUAUGUCGGCGUCACAUCCCAUUGCUGCCAGCACCCCUGAAGGAAGCAAUUAUGGGGCAAUAGAUGAGUCCAGCUCCAGUCCGGGCAGGCAGGCAUCCUCCUCCGACGGCGGGCAGCCGUGCCAGUCGGACUCCGACAGCUCCGUGGAGGAGAGUGACUUCGACACCAUGCCAGACAUUGAGAGUGACAAGAACAUCAUCCGGACCAAGACGUUUCUUUACCUGUCAGAUCUGUCCAGGAAGGACCGGAGAAUUAUCAGCAAGAAAUAUAAGAUUUAUUUUUGGAACAUCAUUACCAUCGCUGUGUUUUAUGCACUGCCCGUGAUCCAGCUAGUCAUCACCUACCAGACAGUGGUAAAUAUCACUGGCAACCAGGACAUCUGCUACUACAACUUCCUCUGUGCUCACCCCUUGGGCGUCCUGAGUGCCUUCAACAACAUCCUCAGCAACCUGGGCCACGUGCUCCUGGGCUUGCUCUUCCUGCUGAUAGUCUUGCGCCAGGACAUUCUCCAUCGAAGAGCCUUGGAAGCCAAGGACAUCUUCGCCAUGGAGUAUGGGAUUCCCAAACACUUUGGUCUCUUCUAUGCUAUGGGGAUCGCACUGAUGACGGAAGGAGUGCUCAGUGCUUGUUACCACGUCUGCCCUAAUUACUCCAACUUCCAAUUCGACACCUCCUUCAUGUACAUGAUCGCCGGCCUGUGCAUGCUGAAGCUCUACCAGACGCGCCACCCGGAUAUCAACGCCAGCGCCUACGCCGCCUAUGCCUCCUUCGCGGCGGUCAUCACGCUCACCGUCCUCGGAGUGGUGUUUGGGAAAAAUGACAUCUGGUUCUGGAUCAUCUUCUCCGCAAUCCAUAUUCUGGCUUCUCUGGCCCUCAGCACCCAGAUCUACUACAUGGGGCGUUUCAAGAUAGAUUUGGGGAUCUUUCGGCGUGCCGCUAUGGUGUUCUACACGGACUGCCUCCAGCAGUGCAGCCGGCCUCUGUACACGGACAGAAUGGUGUUGCUCGUCGUGGGCAAUCUGGUUAACUGGUCCUUUGCCCUCUUCGGACUGAUCUAUCGACCCAGGGACUUUGCUUCCUACAUGCUGGGCAUCUUCAUCUGUAACCUGCUGCUCUACCUGGCCUUCUACAUCAUCAUGAAGCUUCGCAGCUCUGAGAAGGUCCUCCCGAUCCCACUCUUCUGCAUCGUGGCCACUGCCGUGGUGUGGGCUGCCGCCCUGUAUUUUUUCUUCCAGAAUCUCAGCAGCUGGGAGGGAACCCCAGCCGAAUCCCGGGAGAAGAACCGCGAGUGUAUCCUGCUGGAUUUCUUUGAUGACCAUGACAUCUGGCACUUCCUCUCUGCGACUGCCCUGUUUUUCUCAUUCUUGUCCCUCCAUUUUUUUGCCCGAACACCUUCGCAGAAGCCAUGCACACUAUAACAACCCAGGACGAUCAUUGCUGGCAUCCUUUCGUCUUAAUUUUGACUUUUCCAAAAUAAGAGUCCGUGGUGCCUGUACACAAGGUUUUGUUAACCCUGGAUGAUGACCUGGAUGUGGUUCGGAGAGACCAGAUCCCUGUCUUUUAAGCAUCCAGCAUUAAGAGCGGGGAGUGGGAGUGAUCGAUCUUGGUGCUGUUUCAUGAAAAAUACAGGGACUGCAGCAAAGUAACCACUGCCAAAUGCUCCACGGGUCAGCUCUGUACACAUUCACACAGGGAGGGGAGAUGCUGCAGGGCGACCCAAACCAGCAAGAAGGGAGGCAGAAGGGAAGCCAUGGCUGUGGAUAGACGCAAGCCCUGCAGAGCCAAGACAUUCACCACCCCUUCCAUCACGACUCAGACAUGGACAAAAGCUGCAUCAAAGUCAGCGCUCUGUCCUGGGACUCCUCCCACCCUCACCUGAGACUUGCAGCCAUAGGGGAACCAUGCUGCUCUCUUGUCUCCAGCUGCCUCCCUGCCCAGAAAGGCCAGUACCUCCAAUUUCCUGCCCAGAAACUCAGGGCCGGCCCCCUGUGCACCUCUGUAACAUCUGCUGCUCUAGACGUCCCAGAACACAAGCCCGCUUCUCCAAGGUCCUGGGAUGAUGGGACUCCUUGCAGUCUGGUAGAGGGCAGACCCAAGGCCCUACCCACCUGGGACAGACGUUUUAUAGCACAGCUCGUCACCUCUUCAGCAGGAGUCAGGAGUGCUGUAUGCAUCCCUCUGGUUCCCAACCACAUGAGGACUGACUCCAGGGCCAUGCUGCAUACUCCUGGCGGGUAACUGUCUCCGGGACCAAGGCGUGGGCACUUCCCUGUUCCUUGGUGUCUUCAUGUCACCGUUGUGUGUUGACCCCAUGACUCAGGCUCUGCCUUCUUGAGAAGGCCCUGUUAGUCCACCAACGAGCUCUACAGGGAAGGAGAAACCGGAAACCCCUUCCAGCAACAGGAGGAACAAGAGAAAUGACCAACAGCACUAAGAGACUGGUGACAUUAGCAGCAAGCAAACAAGCCUCACCCUAAGGCCGGGGCUUCUGGAGCAGAUGCAGCGAAGGCAGAAGCACUUCCUCGUGCCUCCAAUCCAAACAGCUCAUUCUGUGCCCGCAUCACCCUUGGGGAAGGAAUAAGUGUUCUAACCAGGGGCACCGCACUAGGGCUCCUGUACCACCGGCCAAGCCCCCCUCUCUGCUGCUUUAUGCAGAUGGGGGGCUCUAGACUGGCUCCUGAAGUUCUCUCUGGAAGUCACUCUCAGGGGGAAUGCAUUCCACCCUCCUCUCCAUUUGCAAAGAGCACGGCUGAUUUAGGGUUGUCUCUUUGUUGCACCUGAUUCACAUCCUCUCCCCAGUACAUGUGAAAAGCUCAGCGUCCCACUCCACUCUGUCUGGUAGCUCUGCCCCCAGGAAGUCCUGUUUUGACCAGAUUCCCUUGUUACCUACAGGGUGAUGUCAUCAGAAAAUUGACGUACAAAUGUGCACACAUGAUGUAUUUGCCUGUGAAAUUGAAGUCCCCUGUCACUUCUCCUUUCCUGACCCUGCACUAGAGAAACCUAUCAGCCACUCUUUUAAAAUAUAUUAGUCUUUCCCUAAAAUAUUUGCAUAAUGUUCAAAAACACUUUUUGGAAGGUUGAAUAGCAAACUUGCCCUGAUUUUUAAAAACAAAGAUAUUUUCAAUGAAACAUCGUGUGAUUUUUUUCCCAGAAUGCCCCCAAAUUUGUAAUUGGUCUUCUGUUACUCUUCAUUCCUUAAAAAUUGCUGGCUUCCAUAGGCCAUAUAAAGGCCACCUAUUAAAUGGUUCCAUUAGUCUAACAUCUAACAGAAAUUUCGAACCUGUUUAACUUUCGCUGAUUUGACCUAAUUCAUUUAUUUUUAGAUAAUAAUAAAUUUUAAAUUUAAAUAAAAGUUUCAAAUCAAAAAAAAAAAAAAAAAAAGGAAGAGGAAAUCUGAACAACAAAAUCUGUGCAAAUAGCCCUGUGCCUGAAGUAAACACAUUGUAGGACAUGUUACCUGUUUGGUAACUUGUUUGGGAAAUAUGUCCAUAGAAAUGGGGAGGGGACCCUGUAGAAAUGGAUGGAUUGUGCUGUUGUAUUUUUUUUUUCUGGAUGUUUUUCGACAAAGUCUUGUGCUAUAAACUCACACAUUGUGGUCAGCUUUGUUCUCAGCAGCAGGACUAAAAACCCAACCCUGCUCUUAUAAACAUCAGUUCUAAAUGUACGUGUUGCAAGUUCUUUCUGCAAUGCCGACUCCAGGUUGGAGGACACAAGGAAGCCGUUCAGCUGCACCUGUGGGGCUGACAGGACCACGGGUGGAGGGGCAGCCAGAGUUACUCCUGGUCCCUCAUCCACAUGCAGUGCAGGCCACAUGCAGUGCGAAUUCUGUCUGUGCUCAUGGCUUCGCUCUCCAAAAGAGAAGGGAACUGAAAGCCAAGUGCAGCAGGAGGGUAACCGGAGAAAGACAGCCACUGUGAAGAGGCUCUUGGCAGAGAGGCACCGAGUAACAAGAGCAGUCCAGCUGGUGGACAGAGACGUGGUGGCCAGAGGGGCAAAAUGGUGCACAUUAAAAAAAAAAAAAAAAAUGGCCUCUUCGCACCUC